rnacentral:rRNA from 1 species
UCCUGGCUCAGGAUGAACGCUAGCUACAGGCUUAACACAUGCAAGUCGAGGGGCAGCAUUGGGAUAGCUGCUAUCCAGAUGGCGACCGGCGCACGGGUGAGUAACGCGUAUCCAACCUUCCCCAUAGUAGGGCACAGCCCGGCGAAAGUCGGAUUAAUUCCCUAUGCAGUCCAGAGAGGACAUCUGACCUGGACGAAAGAUUCAUCGCUAUGGGAUGGGGAUGCGUCUGAUUAGGUUGCAGGCGGGUAACGGCCCACCUGGCCGACGAUCAGUAGGGGUUCUGAGAGGAAGGUCCCCCACAUUGGAACUGAGACACGGUCCAAACUCCUACGGGAGGCAGCAGUGAGGAAUAUUGGUCAAUGGACGGAAGUCUGAACCAGCCAAGUAGCGUGCAAGGAAGACGGCCCUAUGGGUUGUAAACUGCUUUUAUCAGGGGAUAAAGUGAGGUAUGUAUACCUUUUUGCAUGUACCUGAUGAAUAAGGACCGGCUAAUUCCGUGCCAGCCGCAGC